GAUGAACGCUGGCGGCGUGCCUAAUACAUGCAAGUCGAGCGAACGGACGAGAAGCUUGCUUCUCUGAUGUUAGCGGCGGACGGGGGAGUAACACGUGGAUAACCUACCUAUAAGACUGGGAUAACUUCGGGAAACCGGAGCUAAUACCGGAUAAUAUUUUGAACCGCAUGGUUCAAAAGUGAAAGACGGUCUUGCUGUCACUUAUAGAUGGAUCCGCGCUGCAUUAGCUAGUUGGUAAGGUAACGGCUUACCAAGGCAACGAUGCAUAGCCGACCUGAGAGGGUGAGCGGCCACACUGGAACUGAGACACGGUCCAGACUCCUACGGGAGGCAGCAGUAGGGAAUCUUCCGCAAUGGGCGAAAGCCUGACGGAGCAACGCCGCGUGAGUGAUGAAGGUCUUCGGAUCGUAAAACUCUGUUAUUAGGGAAGAACAUAUGUGUAAGUAACUGUGCACAUCUUGACGGUACCUAAUCAGAAAGCCACGGCUAACUACGUG
rnacentral:rRNA from 1 species